GCAGUCGAACGAUGAUCCGGCUUCGGUCGGGGAUUAGUGGCGAACGGGUGAGUAACACGUGGGCAAUCUGCCCUGCACUCUGGGAUAAGCCUGGGAAACUGGGUCUAAUACCGGAUAUGACCUUCUCUCGCAUGGGGGAGGGUGGAAAGCUUUUGCGGUGCAGGAUGGGCCCGCGGCCUAUCAGCUUGUUGGUGGGGUAGUGGCCUACCAAGGCGACGACGGGUAGCCGGCCUGAGAGGGUGACCGGCCACACUGGGACUGAGACACGGCCCAGACUCCUACGGGAGGCAGCAGUGGGGAAUAUUGCACAAUGGGCGCAAGCCUGAUGCAGCGACGCCGCGUGAGGGAUGACGGCCUUCGGGUUGUAAACCUCUUUCAGCAGGGAAGAAGCCUUGCCUUUUUGGGUGGGUGACGGUACUUGCAGAAGAAGCACCGGCUAACUACGUGCCAGCAGCCGCGGUAAUACGUAGGGUGCAAGCGUUGUCCGGAUUUAUUGGGCGUAAAGAGCUCGUAGGCGGCUUGUCGCGUCGAUUGUGAAAGCUCAGGGCUUAACCCUGGGUCUGCAGUCGAUACGGGCAGGCUAGAGUUCGGUAGGGGAGACUGGAAUUCCUGGUGUAGCGGUGAAAUGCGCAGAUAUCAGGAGGAACACCGGUGGCGAAGGCGGGUCUCUGGGCCGAUACUGACGCUGAGGAGCGAAAGCGUGGGGAGCGAACAGGAUUAGAUACCCUGGUAGUCCACGCUGUAAACGGUGGGAACUAGGUGUGGGCAGCAUUCCACGUUGUCUGUGCCGUAGCUAACGCAUUAAGUUCCCCGCCUGGGGAGUACGGCCGCAAGGCUAAAACUCAAAGGAAUUGACGGGG
rnacentral:rRNA from 1 species